rnacentral:misc_RNA from 1 species
GCUAACAGGACACUUGACGCAUAACCUAACCGCUGCAUCCGGCGGACCAAUUCGAGGUGUUCAAGUAUCUCGCCGAAGAAAAAGGCUUUAGCGCGGAAGAAGUCGCGGCCCGUUUCGGCGUGACCGCGCAUGUCGUGCGCCAGCGCUUGCGGCUUGGGUCAGUGUCGCCAAGGCUGAUGCAGGUCUAUCGCGACGGCGACCUGACGCUGGAUCAAUUGAUGGCCUUUGCCAUCACCGAGGAU